ACGCCAGACUCCUACGGGAGGCAGCAGUGGGGAAUAUUGCACAAUGGGGGAAACCCUGAUGCAGCGACGCCGCGUGAGUGAAGAAGUAUUUCGGUAUGUAAAGCUCUAUCAGCAGGGAAGAAGAUGACGGUACCUGACUAAGAAGCCCCGGCUAACUACGUGCCAGCAGCCGCGGUAAUACGUAGGGGGCAAGCGUUAUCCGGAUUUACUGGGUGUAAAGGGGGCGCAGACGGCAGCGCAAGCCAGGAGUGAAAGCCCGGGGCCCAACCCCGGGACUGCUCUUGGAACUGCGCGGCUGGAGUGCAGGAGAGGCAGACGGAAUUCCUAGUGUAGCGGUGAAAUGCGUAGAUAUUAGGAGGAACACCAGUGGCGAAGGCGGUCUGCUGGACAGCAACUGACGCUGAGGCGCGAAAGCGUGGGGAGCAAACAGGAUUAGAUACCCGGGUAA
rnacentral:rRNA from 1 species